rnacentral:rRNA from 1 species
AUUGAACGCUGGCGGCAGGCCUAACACAUGCAAGUCGAACGAGUGGCGGACGGGUGAGUAAUGUCUGGGAAACUGCCUGAUGGAGGGGGAUAACUACUGGAAACGGUAGCUCAUACCGCAUACCAUCGGAUGUGCCCAGAUGGGAUUAGCUAGUAGGUGGGGUAAAGGCUCACCUAGGCGACGAUCCCUAGCUGGUCUGAGAGGAUGACCAGCCACACUGGAGAUGGGACACGGUCCAGACUCCUACGGGAGGGAGCAAGUGGGAAUAUUGCACAAAGGGCGCAAGCCUGAAGCAGCCAAGCCGCGUGUAUGAAGAAGGCUUUCGGGUUGGUAAGUACUUUCAGCGGGGAGGCGUUACCCGCAGAAGAAGGACCGGCUAACUCCGUGCCAGCAGGCGCCGUAAUUAC